UACGGAGGGUGCGAGCGUUGUCCGGAAUCAUUGGGCGUAAAGGGCGCGUAGGUGGCCCGGUCAGUCUUUGGUGAAAGCGCGGGGCUCAACCCUGCGUCGGCCAGGGAUACUGCCGCGGCUCGAGCACUGUAGAGGCAGGCGGAAUUCCGGGUGUAGCGGUGGAAUGCGUAGAGAUCCGGAAGAACACCGGUGGCGAAGGCGGCCUGCUGGGCAGUUUAGCUGACACUGAGGCGCGACAGCGUGGG
rnacentral:rRNA from 1 species